GACGAACGCUGGCGGCGUGCUUAACACAUGCAAGUCGAACGGUAAGGCUCCAGCUUGCUGGGGUACACGAGUGGCGAACGGGUGAGUAACACGUGGGUGACCUGCCCUGCACUUCGGGAUAAGCCUGGGAAACUGGGUCUAAUACCGGAUAGGACCGCACCGUGAGGGUGUGGUGGAAAGUUUUUUCGGUGUGGGAUGGGCCCGCGGCCUAUCAGCUUGUUGGUGGGGUAAUGGCCUACCAAGGCGGCGACGGGUAGCCGGCCUGAGAGGGUGGACGGCCACAUUGGGACUGAGACACGGCCCAGACUCCUACGGGAGGCAGCAGUGGGGAAUAUUGCACAAUGGGCGGAAGCCUGAUGCAGCGACGCCGCGUGGGGGAUGACGGCCUUCGGGUUGUAAACUCCUUUCACCAUCGACGAAGGGUUUCUGACGGUAGAUGGAGAAGAAGCACCGGCUAACUACCUGCCAGCAGCCGGGUAAUACAUAAGGUGCGAGCGUUGUCCGGAAUUACUGGGGGUAAGAGCUCGUAAGUGGUUUGUCUACUCAUCUGUGGAAAUCCGGGGCCUAAUUCCGGGCGGUAAGCGAUACGGCAAAACCUUUAUUAUUGUAUUUGA
rnacentral:rRNA from 1 species